UUUAAUCAAAUAGAAAUACUGAGUUCAGUGCAGAAUUACUGUCAGAAUAAGUCUUCAGGGACAUAUUGCACACAAAGUCAAGUAAUCAAGGAUUAAUUUAUCUUCUAUGAACUUCAAAAUCUGUUAAUCCCCAUGUGUUUUUUCCUGUAAUAUCCUAAAAAGUAUCGAUGGGAAAAUGAUUAAUAAUGUACUUCAUGGACAAAAUUUCCCCUUUGGUGGCAUUUGUGCUAAUGCACAAAAACAUACCCAGCCACCUUAAAAUACAGCUCCAUUUUGUGUGUUAUUGUCUAUUUUGAAUAGGAAGUUUUUUCAGGUGCUCAGUGCCUAAUUUUAGAAUUUCCUAACUAAAUAGUCUGCUUAUUAGGAAGUAGAUAAUAGCAGUCUAUUUGAGUAGCCAUGUCCAAUGGCUUUUUUUAUAAAGCUCUUGGUUUGCUUGGCGAAUAAAUAGCUGGUGCUCCAUUGUUUGGCUGUGAAGGUCAACAUAUAUAUGGCGGAGCUGAAAGCUGCAAUCCUGGAAAAUGGCAGGGCAGCUCUAAUUACUGCAUUCAGCUGUGACAGGCUUCAAAACAAGAAGAGGAAGGGCAAGAGGAAGGCAGCGAGAGAGUGGUUGGAAGCAGAGGCUCCUUGUCAGGGACUGUGCUGUGAGCUGUUGUUCUCCUGCAGCACGAUGCUGCUGGAAUUCAGUUGCUGAGAGUGAAUUAUGGACUUCUGGAUGGGGAAGGUAUGAAAUGCCUUCUUUUGGAGGAAAUGCCUUCUUUAUCUCCUCCUCAGAAUACAUCAGCUUCUUAUGCUCUGAACAUACCGAUGCUGUGAUCCAGCCUUUUGAUGGACUGCCAUUAGCUGCACUGACUGCCUGCCCAGGAAUUAGGCUCACUGUUUUUCAGGAUCUUUACCUUUAAUUUCUGGAGAUGGUGAUAUCUUAAAUGGAUGAUCUCAGCUCAUUUGGUUUCAUUCAGAAACCAAUCAACCUAAAUCAUCUUCAGUGAUGUCUGGGUUAAAAGCACCUCCCGCUACCCUUUUAGUCCCCGUGUCCCAAUGGAAAUGGUGAAAACUUGGACAGGGAGAAGAGCAGGUUGCUGCAGUAGUCUACAGGCCUGAUGUGAUGGGAAGAGGAGGGAGAAAUCCCCCCAUACCUCUACAAUAAUUCUCAGUGAUCCCUGUCAUAGGGAUUUUACUGUGUGCAGUUCAUAUAGAGGGAGCUGAGGCAUGAGAAUGACACACGUUAUUUUUUGUAGUUGCAUUAAAAAAAAGUAUUUGGGCUAGAGAUCAGCUUCUAAACACAUCUUCUGUCACUGCACAUGAAGUGAAUCCUGCUCUGAGCACUUCUCGUGCUGUCCAUUUGGAAGAAUUAUUGCAGGAUAGGUGGUUUCAUCAGCGGGACUCUGACAUUUGUUAGAGGCUUCCAACAAAAGGUGGUGAGGUGGAGGCUGGUGAUGAAUGAGCCAGGACAAGGACCGGGGCUGCUCUGCUGUCGGUGCCUUUUUCCAGAAAGGAGCAGGGAGCGUGGCGAGCAGGAAGGAAGAAUUUGCUGAGAAUAAAUUCAACACAGUGGAACAAAGUGUUCCCCUUAAAUGUGUUCUUCAGCCAGAAUAGCAGCAGCGUUUCUGCCAAGUAUGGGGCCUGCUGCAGGAACAGUUUGGCAAGGGGAAAAAUAUAGCCAAAUUUGUGUGAAGCAGUCUGAUAGUGGGUGGCUGGAUUAUGCAAUUUUACUGAUAUCCAGACUUUAUUAUCCCUCACAAAGUGUUUCUGAAUUAAGCAAAAUGGUAGAGCAGCUGACUCUUAUUUUUUCUUCUUCGCUGCCCCCUUUCCAAAAGUUGUGCAUUUAAACACCUCUGUUCCUAUUCUUGAAACCUGAGACGGAAAGCUGGGAGGACAGAGCUUGUAAUGAAAUCCUCCUCAGGAACCUGAGGGCAGGGCUGCAAUAUGAGCUGUUGCAGCGUCGGAAAUUCUUGGCUUUGUUGAAGCUUGGUCCUGGAAGGGAUAGGCCAGAAAAUAACCCCCCCUCUUUAAAAUUUAAAAAAAAAAAAAAAAAAAAAAAGAGAGAGA